rnacentral:rRNA from 1 species
UACAGAGGUCCCAAGCGUUGUUCGGAUUCACUGGGCGUAAAGGGUGCGUAGGCGGUCGGGUAAGUUUGACGUGAAAUCUCCGGGCCUAACCCGGAAACUGCGUUGAAUACUAUCUGGCUAGAGGAAUGGAGGGGAGACUGGAAUACUUGGUGUAGCAGUGAAAUGCGUAGAUAUCAAGUGGAACACCAGUGGCGAAGGCGAGUCUCUGGACAUUUCCUGACGCUGAGGCACGAAAGCGUGGGGAGCAAACAGG